GGAAAGGUGGCAGAGCGGUUGAUUGCACCGGUUUUGAAAACCGACUUAGGUAAAACUAACGGGGGUUCGAAUCCCUCCCUUUCCG
rnacentral:tRNA from 1 species